rnacentral:rRNA from 1 species
AGAGUUUGAUCCUGGCUCAGAUUGAACGCUGGCGGCAUGGCUAAAACAUGCAAGUCGAACGACUAGCAAUAGAAGUGGCGAAAGGGCGAGGAAUAGAUUCCCACGUACCCCGAGGCCAGGGAUACCUCAGAGAAAUCUGAGACAAUACCUGAUGACAUCGGAAACGAUCAAAGGUUUACCACCUUGGGAGCGGGGAAUCUCCUAUCAGCUAGUUGGUGAGGUAAUGGCUCACCAAGGCGAAGACGGGUAGCGGGUGUGAGAGCACGGCCCGCCGCAUCGAGACUGAGACACUGCUCGGACUCCUACGGGAGGCUGCAGUAACGAAUCUUCCGCAAUGCACGAAAGUGUGACGGGGCAAUGCCGCGUGUGGGAUGAAGCCCUUAGGGGUGUAAACCACUGUCAGGGACUACCAACAACAUGAGGAGUCCCAAAGGAAGAGCCGGCUAACUCUGUGCCAGCAGCCGCGGUAAUACAGAGGGCUCGAGCGUUAAUCGGAAUCACUGGGCUUAAAGCGUGCGUAGGCGGAUUUGAAGGCGCUUUGUGAAAUCCCUCGGCUCAACCGAGGAACUGCUUGGCGAACCACAAAUCUUGAGGCUGGUAGAGGUGGUCGGAACAAUAG